rnacentral:rRNA from 1 species
AUUGAACGCUGGCGGCAGGCCUAACACAUGCAAGUCGAGCGGGGUUUUCGGACCUAGCGGCGGACGGGUGAGUAAUGCGUAGGAAGCUGCCCGAUAGAGGGGGAUACCAGUUGGAAACGACUGUUAAUACCGCAUAAUGUCUACGGACCAAAGUGUGGGACCUUCGGGCCACAUGCUAUCGGAUGCGCCUACGUGGGAUUAGCUAGUUGGUGAGGUAAUGGCUCACCAAGGCGACGAUCUCUAGCUGGUUUGAGAGGAUGAUCAGCCACACUGGAACUGAGACACGGUCCAGACUCCUACGGGAGGCAGCAGUGGGGAAUAUUGGACAAUGGGCGCAAGCCUGAUCCAGCCAUGCCGCGUGUGUGAAGAAGGCCUUCGGGUUGUAAAGCACUUUCAGCGAGGAGGAAGGGUUGUGUGUUAAUAGCGCGCAAUUUUGACGUUACUCGCAGAAGAAGCACCGGCUAACUCUGUGC